CCCUGGUAGUCCACGCCGUAAACGAUGUCGAUUUGGAGGUUGUGCCCUUGAGGCGUGGCUUCCGGAGCUAACGCGUUAAAUCGACCGCCUGGGGAGUACGGCCGCAAGGUUAAAACUCAAAUGAAUUGACGGGGGCCCGCACAAGCGGUGGAGCAUGUGGUUUAAUUCGAUGCAACGCGAAGAACCUUACCUGGUCUUGACAUCCACAGAACUUUCCAGAGAUGGAUUGGUGCCUUCGGGAACUGUGAGACAGGUGCUGCAUGGCUGUCGUCAGCUCGUGUUGUGAAAUGUUGGGUUAAGUCCCGCAACGAGCGCAACCCUUAUCCUUUGUUGCCAGCGGUCCGGCCGGGAACUCAAAGGAGACUGCCAGUGAUAAACUGGAGGAAGGUGGGGAUGACGUCAAGUCAUCAUGGCCCUUACGACCAGGGCUACACACGUGCUACAAUGGCAUAUACAAAGAGAAGCGACCUCGCGAGAGCAAGCGGACCUCAUAAAGUAUGUCGUAGUCCGGAUUGGAGUCUGCAACUC
rnacentral:rRNA from 1 species